GCGCUAGUAGUGUAGGGGUAUCAUGCAAGAUUCCCAUUCUUGCGACCCGGGUCUCGAGUCCCGGCUAGCGCA
rnacentral:tRNA from 2 species